rnacentral:tRNA from 1 species
GGGGAUUUAGCUCAGUGGCAUAAGCGCCUGCCUUGCAAGCAGGCAGUUUGAUCCCCG